AGAGCGAACGCUGGCGGCAGGCCUAACACAUGCAAGUCGAGCGCCCGUAGCAAUACGGGAGCGGCAGACGGGAUAGUAACACGUGGGAACGCGCCCUUCGGUUCGGAAUAACUCAGGGAAACUUGAGCUAAUACCGAAUACGCCCUUACGGGGAAAGAUUUAUUGCCGAAGGAACGGCCCGCGUCCGAUUAGCUAGUUGGUGAGGUAAUGGCUCACCAAGGCUACGAUCGGUAGCUGGUCUGAGAGGAUGACCAGCAUCACUGGGACUGAGACACGGCCCAGACUCCUACGGGAGGCAGCAGUGGGGAAUAUUGGACAAUGGGCGCAAGCCUGAUCCAGCCAUGCCGCGUGGAUGAUGAAGGCCUUAGGGUUGUAAAGUCCUUUUAACGGGGAAGAUAAUGAACGGUACCCGUAGAAUAAGCCCCGGCUAACCUUCGUGCCAGCAGCCGC
rnacentral:rRNA from 1 species